GUUUCUAUGUUUGAAAAACCUACAUAAAUGUGAGGAUUGAGGACUUUGAAGUCAUCUUCAAAUUAACUUUUUAAUAAAGUACUAAUUUAAGAAUAUUAUAUUAAAUGAGAUUGGGUAAGAAUAUUCCUUCUUAUAACAGUAAUAAUAAUAAUUUAAUUAUAUAAAAUUAAAGAAAUGAUGGGUAAAAAUUAUACUCACUACAUUUUAAAUGAAUUGGAUGGAGUCUCAAAAAUGCUCAUGCAAAACAAACAUGUACCGGAAAGAAAAUGACAAUUUUCGGGGCAUUUUAGACAUUUUAAGUUAGUGUAAGGGUUGUCCUUAAUUUUUUUUCCCAAAAUAACAUGAUAGCCCCAGCCUUGAGGUGUGUAUAAAUUAAUAAUAUAAACAAGGGAUAUGGCCAACUAGCUUUUUUUUUUCUCUCCAACUCCAUACUCUCUCUAUUCUCAUGGGAAGAUCUCCUUGCUGUGAUGAGAAUGACCUCAAGAGGGGCCCUUGGACUCCUGAAGAAGAUCAAAAGUUGGUUCAUUACAUCCAGAAGCAUGGCCAUGCCAGCUGGAGAGCUCUUCCUAAGCUUGCUGGAUUUAAUAUAUGUGGGAAGAGUUGUAGGUUAAGAUAGACCAACUACUUGAGGUCAGAUAUCAAGAGGGGCAAGUUUUUACCUGAAGAGGUACAAGCUAUCCUCAACCUCCACUCUAUCCUUGGCAACAACUAACUAAUCUUUACCAUGCAUAGCCUUUUAUUAUUAUUUUAGAUAUAUAGUAAACAUAAUUAGAACAUGAUAAUUUCUUCUUUUAUUCAUUUUCUAUGUAAAUUUGAAAUCAUUACAUGUUAGGGAUUUCGAAGGUGUUUUUGUAGUUUAAAAUCAAUCACAAUUUCUAGCUACAU